UGCAGUCGAACGAUGAAGCCCAGCUUGCUGGGUGGAUUAGUGGCGAACGGGUGAGUAACACGUGAGUAACCUGCCCUUAACUCUGGGAUAAGCCUGGGAAACUGGGUCUAAUACCGGAUAGGAGCGCCCACCGCAUGGUGGGUGUUGGAAAGAUUUAUCGGUUUUGGAUGGACUCGCGGCCUAUCAGCUUGUUGGUGAGGUAAUGGCUCACCAAGGCGACGACGGGUAGCCGGCCUGAGAGGGUGACCGGCCACAUUGGGACUGAGACACGGCCCAGACUCCUACGGGAGGCAGCAGUGGGGAAUAUUGCACAAUGGGCGAAAGCCUGAUGCAGCGACGCCGCGUGAGGGAUGACGGCCUUCGGGUUGUAAACCUCUUUCAGUAGGGAAGAAGCGAAAGUGACGGUACCUACAGAAGAAGCACCGGCUAACUACGUGCCAGCAGCCGCGGUAAUACGUAGGGUGCGAGCGUUAUCCGGAAUUAUUGGGCGUAAAGAGCUCGUAGGCGGUUUGUCGCGUCUGUCGUGAAAGUCCGGGGCUUAACCCCGGAUCUGCGGUGGGUACGGGCAGACUAGAGUGCAGUAGGGGAGACUGGAAUUCCU
rnacentral:rRNA from 1 species